ACACUAUCUUAUGACUUUACGUAAAUCCUUGGGGGUUCUCAGAGUCUCAGUUUGCUCAUUAGGGAGUAGAUUAAAUGAUUUCAGAGGUUCCUACUAGCUCUAAACAAGUAUAAAUGUAUAAACAAGUAAAAACAGUUCAUCAAACCGACUGGUGAAUCCUAGUAGUGACACAUUUCAAUUGUAGAACACUUUAGGGUUUGUACAGGUCUUUUGUAGGCACGGACUAGUAUUUGUUUUUUUCUUUAGCACCCAGUGUUUUUAAAGGAGGUUAUUUCCAUUUUGACCACUGACCACUACCAAUUUCGCCUAAGUUCAAGACUAUUUCUUCAGUAAUACCUUUGUAAGAACAUGGCAGAGUAUUUUCUUUACUUAAAAAAUUACUAUCAUGAGCACAGUUGACCUGAUAAAUUUAGAAUUUAUGUCACAUCCCACUUCUGCAAAAUUCUAGUGCAGAAACCAUUUAUGUUCACAUUUUAUAAUUUCAUUGGAAGAGGAAAAAGGGUGGUAAUAUGGAAGUUGAAAAUAUAUUGAUUUUUCAACUGAUAGGCUUUAGAGAAAAAAAGCCUAAUGUAAGAUAAUCUAUAUACUACCAAGGAUGUUGUUCACCUUAAUAGCUAUAAAAACUAGGUUAAUCAAGCUGGGAUGCUCUGGUUAUCAGAAUGUUUUGAGGUCAUGGAGUCAAUUCAUGAUCACAGUUGCAAAAUCUCAACAUAAUGAAAAUAAUCCUUAGCGGCAGUGCCACAAGAUGAAGAUAUUUACUAUGAAAUGAACUUACAUGUUAUAAAGUUAAACUUUACAGGGCUCCAAGCUUUAUAGACUAGGACUAUUUGUGUUUUAUAUAUCAAUCAAAUUGGUUAACCAGUUUUAGCUUCCCUGCCUUUCCUUAAAUUAAAAGUUGUAAUUUUCAAAGGUAAAUCUGGGCUUCCUAGGGCUUUUUGCAAAUAUAUUAAGAUCCUUCAUAAACAAGAAAAUUAAUAGUUUCCCUUGAUGGUUUGGUUCAGUUAAUCCAAUUGUACAUUUUUGUUUAUUUUCUUCCCACUGUAGUGGAAAAGGAACUAAAAGAAGACCGUGUGGUGUUGGUAGUGGUGGUUAAUUUGAUGCAAUUUGUUUUCUCAUAUUUACUGAAGUAGAAAUUACAUGUGUGCUAUAUUAAGGAGGCAAUCUAUUUGAAGUUCCAAGUUUUUUGGCCCAAACUGAUGAUCAUUAAUAUUUAAAAAAGCCUUUCAAAGCUCCUCUAAAAUAAUUUUCUAAGCAUCAGUCAUCAAAAUGGUAGCUUUUAUGUGCUUUAACUCUUUGAAAUAUUUUUAGCAUCCCAAAUUUUUCCCACUUGAAAUAAUGUAUCAGUUUUUUUCUCAUAGAAAAUAUAAUUUACUUUUCAUUUUAUGCCCAUAGUUCUUAAUUAUUUCUUACAAAACCUGUCAAGUGACCUUUCAUUCAAAAUAUUUCUUUAAGCACUUUCUCAAUUCUGUAGCUUUUUGACUCUAAUAAUUUAAAUUGGAAACUGUUUAAUGUAUUAAAUGUACAUUUACUGUAAUAAAACUACCAGAAAAAUUAUAGGCAAUGACAAUAAAUUAAAAUUUUAAGCUUAAAAUGAGAAAAUCUCAUUUAAAGUAUAUCUGUUAAAUUGCAUCACUACACCAGGUUUUCCGUCUCUUUUUACGUAACAAAAUAUGUACGUUUUAUGGUAAAGAUUUAAAGAGCUUGUAACACCUUUUUUCACAUCAUAGUUUACAUUGAACAUUUUC
rnacentral:lncRNA from 10 species